GUGAGAACUUCCGCUUCUGAGCCCUGGAAGCCAUAUUGGGGGACCCAGCCUGGGGCUAGGAGAACACAGAUGUUCUUCUAAUGAAUGCAUGCAGUGGACCAGAAUGAGGAGACUUCUUGUGAGAUAUUUUUCAAAUACUUCAGAGAAAAUAAGGUGGAGAUAGCAGAUGCAAUAACAAAGCCAUUUCCUUUCCUAGAAAGCCUUAGAGAUCGCUCUUUUAUCACCGACAAAAUCUAUACUAAUGCAUGCAGUGAACCAGAAUGAGGGGUUCAACAGCACUACACGAAAGGUCCUCAAGGGGUUUGUACUCAACAAUGGCACCACUUUGCCAAAAGCCAUAAGGGAUGUGCACUUUACAAAAGCGCUACUCAGCAAGUCCGUGAGGGCUGCGUACAGAUGACAGCACAUCUCAAGAGGCCCCGUGGUGGUGGGUUAGAUAAGCAUUCACCAGAAAAUAGCCCAAGGGUCUGGUGGUGGCAGGCUGGAUUGUAGCAUUCCACAGCACUCUGUUCCAUGUUGCAGAGAGAGGGUUUCAUAGAGUAAAUUACAUGGCACUGACAUCAUUAGCUUUAUUGGAUCCAUGGUAUGAGCAGCAUUCCAAGGAGCAGUUGACUCAGCUUAUGGGUUCUAGACAGCUUUAGUUUGCCUCAUUUCCUGGGCCCUUCAAAUAAUAGUUUCCUGGAAAGUCUGGACUCUGUCCACUGAGUGUCCCCUUGACUUGGCAAGAGUCUUGGGAUGUAAGAUAGUGCUUCAGGGACAGGGAGCUAAAUGUCCUAGUUUUUCCCAGAAAUGAUAGAUGUGGGAAGACUGUUGUAUCUUGAUUAGUCAUUUUAUAAGAUAGAAAGUGACAGAACAAGUAGAGGUCGUGACAGAUGCUGCUGUUUCUGCGUGAAGUCCUUCUCUUCUGAGGCAUUUGUUGGAAUGGACAUGAAUACUAAUGAUGAUAUGAUGGGAUUGAAAGUGAUAAACUCAACAAAAUAGUGAUUUAUAGCCCAUAGCAAAAUAGAAUGAUACUCAAGAGGGUUGGAGCAGUACUUUAUUAUGAUGUCUUCCUACAUCAGAUGAAACCCCCAGGGAAUCUAUACUGUUAUAAAACAAAUUUCUGCCUUGCUGUUGUCUCAUGCACAGUGUUUAGAUUCUGUUGGGUGGCUCUGAAGUCUUGGGAUUCAAGUAAGGUUAAACAGUGGGCCCUCCAGGGGACAUGGAGUGGGAAGCCAUGCUCCCCAUGUGGAUCGUGCUCUUUCCUGUGUGUUCUUCAGAGCCAGGGCAGAACCUCCUCCCCAUGUCCUAGAGCUUUUUCCAGGUACCUCGUACCUGAGGUGGGACAUAGGAGAGGGACAGUGACCACUGUGCCAUCAACAGAGUUGCUGUAAGAUACACCUUUGAAAUAGCCUAGGCAAGAGGAGAGCUUAGAAGUGAAGAGACAUGCUCACUUGUUCUUUUAAACAGUUAAUCAAGUACUUAAAUUCUAAAGUAUUACAUGAAAAAUGCUAGUCUAGCUACACUGCGAAAGUAGACUAAGUCUUCUAUGCAGUGACUCCCUAGAUCUCUCUUUAACCUUGGAGCUACGAUUUUAUACACUUUUCCCCUUUUUGAAACGAUUCUCGAGAAGCCUGUAGAAACAUGGUUCCUGUAGAAAGAGUGGUAUACAAUGUUCUCUGUCACCUCGAGGAGUCAUUGGAUUGGUCACUUAUGCAAACCCUGUUCAGCAGAGUUCACCUGAAAGAGUAUCCUGGCUUAACUGAGAUUCACAGAAGCUUUGAAAAUGUGCUCCAAGAAAAAUAUUUUUCCCAGAAAACCAAUAGAAAAGAGAAGCAAAAAACAUUCAACACUCAGCAAAGCUGUGAGAAAGGGAACUGAUGGUGCUACAGCAAGCAAGUUCAUCAAGAACGACAUUCAUAAGAGACCAGAAGAGCAGAAACGAACAAAGCUUUAUUGAGCCAGCUGAUGGACAGUCUCUAACCAGGAGCCAGAAAAGAUGUCUUCCUCAAUCUGGGUCUCGUUGGUUGAACUACAUUUUAGGGAGAUGUAAAGACGCUGAAAAGUACUGGUAAGCUGAGUCAAGAUUUCUGGGUCGUCAUCCUGUUGGAUACACUGUGAGUCAGCUCCAAGAAAGAAAGAACGAUACAGCAAGUCCUGUACAUGGCGUCCCAUCGUCUAAGAAGACUGCAAACUUGAGGUAGUUUGCUACAAUGCACAACCAGGGAGGACUGCAGCUGUCUCCAAAUAAGGACAUCCUUCAGACCCUCAAAGGAAGGUCUUCAGGAGAAAUCGGCGCAAAGGACAGGUCUGGGUCGGAGAUGUGUGUUUGGGAGUCCACAGCUCCCAGAGGGUGACUGAGCUUUGACAAGAGGAGACGCCUGCCGGGGCUCUGUGGAUUAUCCAGCUUAAGAAGAGAGUGUGGGAACCUCGAGCCAGUUGGUCAGAAGAAUACAUCCCAACUGGGAACUUCUUUUGCUUUGGAGAUAGAGUCUCACUGCAUUCCCAGGUGGCCUUGAACUUCUGGGCUCAAGCAAUCCUCCUACUUCUGCCUCCUGUGAAGCUGCAGCUAUAGGGAAGCUACCCUGAGGUGAGCAGCUUCAUCCCACUGUGUGCUUCUCACCAUGAUGUUGGGCUUCUCCACAGGUCCCACACAAUGGGGCCUAGCAACCAUCGAUUGAAACCUCCACAACCAUGAGCCAAAGUUGUAGGUGGAGGAUCCUUCCAGAGGUCAGGAAAGCAGCCGGUGGGCCUGAGGAACAUGGAAGAAGGAGUGGAGACUGUCAAGGAGACGGGGGUGAGAAGCUGAUGAGUUACCCAGAUGUGGAACAGAACAGUGCAUCUCAGUCCCUUCAACCACGUGUGGCACAUGUUGGCCAAGCAUCCUCCCAGGGACAAACUGCUGCCAUUUCCAUGUGCUAAUCUUGCGUGUACUAGAUUUCACCUAAGUGGGAAAAUGUAUUUUGUAUGCUUUGAGUCUGGCUUCUCUUGUUCAUCAUCCACGUGGCUAUGUUUAGCGGUAGUUUGCUUCUUUUUAUUGUUCAGGGGUAUUGUACUGUGUGAACAUACCAUUUGGUUUACUCAUUUUCCUGUUGACGGACUUGGAUUGAGUCCAAGUUGGAACUAAUAUGAAUAAAGCUUCUGUUCUUGUACAAGUGUUUUGGGGACAAGAAGUUGGAUUAUGUAGGAAUAUGUUUAGCUAUUUUAGAACUUUUCAAACUUUUUUCAAAGACUAUUAGACUUUCUAAUGUUGGCCAUUCUUGUGUGUGUGUGUGUGUGUGUGUGUGUGUGUGUGUGUGUGUAUGUGUGAUAUACUAUCUCAUUUUAGUUCCAGUCUGUAUUUCUUUAAUGACUAAUGAUGUUGAACACAUUUUCAUGUGAUUUUUAGCAAUUUUUUACUCUUCCUUUGUGAGAUAGGCCCAUUUAUAUGACUGGGAUAUCUUUUACUUAUCAAUGUAUAGGUAUUUGUUAUUAAUAGAAAUAUAUUUUUUUGAUUUGUGUAUUGUGAAUACUUUUCCCUAUAUUUAGCUUGCUUUGUAUUUUCUUAACUAUGUCUUUUGAGGAGAAAUUUUUAAUUUUGAUGAAGUCCAUCUAUUAUAUUUUUUCUCUGUGCUUAAUGAGUUUAGUAUCUAAGAAAUCUGUCUACUGCAAGGUCAUUAAAAUAUUCACCAAUUAAUUUACAAUAUUUGUAAACUUGGUCUGUUUCUGGACUUUCUAUUCUGUACCAUUGAUAUUCUUAUCUCUUCUUAUGUCAAUACCAUUUUGAAUUGACUUCUACAGUUUAAAGAAAGUCUUGAAGUCAAUUAGGAAGAAUUGUCUUAGCUUUCCCUUUCCUCACUAGUUUCCUACUUAUCUUUAGAAUCAGUGAAUACCUACAAGAACAGCCUUCUGGAUUUUGAUUGAGUUUUCACUGAACACAUAGAUAAAUUUGGUGAGAAGUGACAUCUUAAUAUUAUUGAGCUUCCAGUCUGUUAACAUUACACAUAGCUCUCCAUUUGUUUUCUUUUCAGUUUUCUUAGUAGCCACGUACAUCUUUGAUUAAAUUUAGUCUUAGUUAUUUGAUUUUUUUGGUGCUACUUCAGGUAGUAUUGGAUUUAAAUUGCUUGUUCUUAUUCCAUGGAAAUAGAUGUUUUUAAAAAAGUAUUUUUUUUAGCUCUUUUUUUUUUUGGUAAAAAAGUAUUAACUACUGAUGUAUCACCUUGGUAAAUCCACCAAAGUAUUUAUAGACUUUUGUUUCACUUUAUAGAAAGUAAUCAUGUCAUCAGCAAAUAAAGACUGUUUUACUUUUUCCCUCAA